AUUGAACGCUGGCGGCAUGCUUUACACAUGCGAGUCGAACGGUAACAGGCCUUCGGGUGCUGACGAGUGGCGAACGGGUGAGUAAUGCAUCGGAACGUACCCAGAGGUGGGGGAUAACGCAGCGAAAGCUGUGCUAAUACCGCAUGUGAUCUGAGGAUGAAAGCGGGGGACCGAGCAGCAAUGUUUGGCCUCGCGCCUUUGGAGCGGCCGAUGUCGGAUUAGCUAGUUGGUGGGGUAAAGGCCUACCAAGGCGACGAUCCGUAGCUGGUCUGAGAGGACGACCAGCCACACUGGGACUGAGACACGGCCCAGACUCCUACGGGAGGCAGCAGUGGGGAAUUUUGGACAAUGGGCGCAAGCCUGAUCCAGCAAUGCCGCGUGCGGGAAGAAGGCCUUCGGGUUGUAAACCGCUUUUGGCAGGAACGAAACGGUGUCCGCUAAUACCGGGCGCUAAUGACGGUACCUGCAGAAUAAGCACCGGCUAACUACGUG
rnacentral:rRNA from 1 species